rnacentral:rRNA from 1 species
AUCUUCAGCCAUGCCACCCUGAACAAGCCCGAUCCUGUCUGAUCUCAGAAACUAAGCAGGGUUGGGCCUAGUUAGUACUUGGAUGAGAGACCACCUAGAAAGACAAGGUGCUGUAGGUG